UCACUCUUCAAAAUCUCAAAAAAUCUAAGCUUUCUUCUUGUUCUCUCCUUUCUCUCUCGAAGUUUGUGUAAAGAUGAAGAUGGGUUCUUGCACGCUUAAAGUUUUCUUGAUGUUGGGUCUCUUGGCUGCCUCUUGCAUGGCUCAGGCACCUGGAGCUUCACCAACUCCGGCACCAAAAGCAGCGCCUACUCCAGCACCAAAAGCAGCGCCUACGCCGUCACCAACAUCUACGCCAACUCCAUCACCAACACCCGCAGCAACACCAUCUCCUUCUCCUUCGUCUCCAGCCCCUACCCCAUCUUCACCACAAGCUCCAUCUCCUUCAACAGUUUCUCCUCCAUCUGAGGGUCCAACUUCCCCUACCACCUCUCCCCCUUCACCAUCAACCCUUUCACCCACUUCUCCACAGACUCCUGCUCCUCAGCCUCCACCCAGUGACAACUUUGCUGCUGCUAAGGUUGAUAGAAUUAUCCUCGCCGGAACUGUUCUUGCUGGAACUUUCUUGGCCUUUACUUUGGCCUAGGAUGAAGGUUUGAACUUUCGUCAUCGGCGUAAUUUAGAUCUUUUGGAUUCAUGGAGCUGGGGUUGAGGAGAUCUGUUAUUCUCUUAUUUGCUGGUCGCCUAUUAGUGGUUUCUUUCUUUCUUUCUUUUCGAUACUUGUUUUUUGUUUUUUAAUGUUCUUUUUUAUUUUUUCUUCAUGUGAUUGUUGAUUAUUUUAUUUUGGAUUUUGGACGGUGAUUAUUUGGGCAUGAGGGAUGUGAUUACACGUGUACGAUCUGAUGAUGGGAUGGGAUGAUUAUUGUAGAAAUUGGGAUGGUGUACAUCUAAUAAAACAGUUUGCUAUUCUUUUAUAAAUUCUAAUUUCUUUUUUUUUUCAGAACAAUUCCAUCUUCGUUUGUUUUUUUUCAUGAAUAUAUUUAAAAUAUGCAUGUAAAUUAAUCAACUAAUUAUUUUUUUAUGAAAUAAUUAAUUAAUUAGAUAGUCCUUUUGGUCACAUUCUGUAGAGAGGAGGACAGGAGAAUGUACUAAUUUUACUCAUUAAUGCUGACUCUUUCUAUAGAAUUUAAUUGUAAAGAGCUCAAAAUUCUAGGGCGUGGUCUGCACGUUUCCUUCAGGAUUGAGAUGUUUUCGGCUUCGAUUCAGCCACAGCCCACAAACGUGGUUUUGUUUGUUAAGAAAUUAAAAUUAUUUGUAAGAAUUUAUUUAAAUAUUUUUUUAAUGAAUUAUUUCAAAGGAAAAAAAUUAAAAUAAUAAUAUAUUAUUAGACUUGAGAUAGGGCCUGAAUUAUUAUGCAAACCAUCCACAAAGCAGUCAGCACACGAAUGCUGACUUUAUCUGGGGAGAUAAUUUCCUUUGGGCUGGUUCGAUGAAUUGCAAUCGGUUGCUCCAUUACGCCCUUUUUCGUUUAGGUCCACAAAAAGCUUUCCUCCCACAAAAAAUUCCAACAUUACUCAAAUCAAAGUCAUUAUAUAUAUAUAUACCAUUUUACAGUCUUAUUAAAAAAAUAAAAUAUAUUUUUUUAAAUUUAAAAAUAAUUUAUAUUUAAAAUUUUAAUUUAAAAUCUCCAAUUAAAAUAAUUCCCUCCAUCUAUCAAAAGAGUAAAUUUAUUUCUUUUUAAUAAUCAGUAGUAAAGAAGCAAUUUCUAUAAUCAGAUGGGCAUCAAUAUGUUGAUUGGUUCAACCAAAAAUUAAAAAAUAAUAAUAAUAAAAAGAAUAGACUAGAAAAUUCCAGUAUUGCUGAAAGAAAGGAAGGAAUGAAGCUCUUAAAUAUAUGUAAAAGGCACACGAUCUCAAGUAAAAAAUUCCUUUGUAAAAAAAUAUUACGAGGAAAAAUAAGUUGGAGAAAAAUAAGGAGAUAUUUUUUUUUUAAUGUUAGAAAGAAAAAUAAAGAAAUGAAAAAAAAAGUGUUAUUUUUCUCUCUCAUUUUUAAUUUGAAAUAUAUAAAUAUAUAUGUAUUAUAAUUAUUGAGUUUCAGAUACCGUGACCACAGUUAAACUCAUGUAGAAAGGUCGAACUAUAAUCUCAUCAAAGUUCGCUAUGCGAGGCCAUCUAUUAGCAUGCGGCCUUAAUUUCGUGCAAGUAGGUCGGACCGAGUAGGAUUCGGGCUAAUCGAAAGGAGAUCCAGCUCGACUGGCUUGAUAAAUCAGUGGGGCAAUAGACCCCUAUACAUAUGGGAUCGUGUCCACAUAGCGCCGGAGGGAAUUAAAUGGUCGCUUGACGAUGGAAAAGAAUACAAUACAUCUAUACGUAAAGCGCCGCCUGAUAAUGACAGAGUGUAUAGUUGUAAGACGGCGGUUACGCGUCACUAGAGGAUAAAAGAAGGAAUACAUGAGCCAACCGAGAAAAGUUCAAAAAAAUACAUACCCUUGAGCCUACUCUCUAUUGGAUCUCAGAACAUCAAUUAACGCCCAUCUGUGGAAAUGAAGGAGAUUUUUUCGUCACCAGAGUCCUCUUCCUCACCAUACCCACUGAGAUCCGCAUGGCCAAUCACGGCGAAAACCAUAUUGAAACACCCCAAACGAUCUGAACUCUGCUAAGGAAGGACCACGGUUCUCAUUUUUCAGCCCUAUUGCCCCAUUGAAUCAACCACAUGCAUUGUUUAACCCUUUGCUAAGCUCAGCAGGGAUCAUGUCUCGAACCACUCUAUCUGACCAUGAGCUACAAAAUAUGGCUCUUUAACUCCAAAACACUGCUCAUUGGCUAGGGCAAAUGUUGCAACAGAAAGAACUCAAUACCUCGUUGAGCGUACCACCAAUAACCGAAGGGUUCAAUGUUACCGAGUUCUAACCCACACUAAGCCGCCAAGCCCCUCAGCAAAACAGCAGGAGGACGGGUGAUGGAGACGGAGAAGCUAGCAAAAGGAAUGAGCCUGCAGCCAGAGUGAGAGGUUGAGCAGUAAGGGAGUUUAUUGAGAAUGUUAGGGCUGAAAGCUAUUCUUCUGAGCCAGCAAGAAAGUCAGAAAAAAGAAAGGGACAAAGCAGCCAAUUACCAAGCAGUGAGGGAGCCUUAUAUCGAAGAGGGAGCCUUAUAUCGAAGAGGGAAAUCCAGCCCGUAGCUGAGAUGUGUAGGCCCAAAAGAAGCAGUCAGGGUGAUCCGAGAGAUACAUCGAGGGGUCUGCGGAGUUCAUGAGGGGGUAACCAGGCUGGCAAAUAAGAUCUUUCAAUAGGGAUAUUACUAGCCCACAGUAAAAAAANNNNNNNNNNNNNNNNNNNNNNNNNNNNNNNNNNNNNAAAAAAAGCUGAGGAGUUUGUCAAGAGAUGUGAUAUCUGCCAAAGGUUCGCCAAUGCUAUCAACAAUUCGGUUAUGCCACAGUCAAGCAUAUCGAGCCCGUGGCCGUACUCUCAAUGGACAUCCUAGGCCCAUUUCCUAAGACUAUGGGGCAGAAGAGGUUUAUGAUCGUAGUUAUAGAGUACUUUUCCAAGUGGCUUAAGGUAGAAGCUAUCCCCACCAUCACAGCCUAAAAAGUAAUAGCCUUCGUGUGGAGAAACAUUAUAUGCCAAUUCGAAAUACCCAGGAUGCUCAUAUUGGACAAUGGAAAACAGUCCGAUAAUAACUCUUUUAGAGACUUCACGAGCAACAUGGCCAUAUGGCAUAAGUUCUCCUCAGUAGCUCACCUGCAGACAAAUGGCCAAACUGAAGUGGCAAACUGGGCUAUCCUCCAAGGCUAAAGAAGCUGUUAGACAGCGAUAAGAAGAAUUGGGCAGUCGACCUACAUAGCAUCUUGUGGGCAUUCCAGACUACACCUCGGACACUAACAGGGGAGACAUCAUUCGUGCUAGGAUUUGGGACAGAGGCUAUAGUCCCCAUAGAGCAACAAAUCCCUACUCACCGAGUCCAAUUCAGUGAUGAGAUUACUAACGGUGAGAAAUUAAGAAGUAAUCUGGAUGCCCUUGAAGAGAUCAGAGAUGAAGCACAAAUAAGAGGAACUACUUAUCAACAAAAGGCAGCCCGAUAUUACAACCAGAAAGUCUGUGAAAGGAACUUGAAGGUUGGGGACCUGGCCUUGAGGAGAUUGGAAGCAACAGGAAAGAGAGCAGCUGUGGGGAAUCUAGCACCAACCUGGGAAAGCCCAUUCAAAAUUACCAAGGUAGUCAAACCUCGGGUAUAUCGAAUUGACGACCAGCAAGGAAAUUUGAAGCCUCACGCUUAGAACAUCCAACAUUUAAAGAGGUAUUUCCCAUAAAGGCAUAGAAUGUAAUUGCUAUUUUUUGGAAGACAUGAAUAAAAUUGUCAUCUUUCCCCUUCUACUAGUAUUCUUGAGCACGUACCGAAGCCCUCAUUGAGGUAGGUGACCAGUCUCGGAAUAUAACCGCUGGCACCACAAAACCGACUAUAGAGACGAAGCCCUCAAUGAGGUAGGUGACUGGUCUCAAAAUAUGACUGCCAGUACCACAAAACCGGUUGAGGAGAUGAAGACCCCAGUAAGGUGGGUGAACGGUCUCGAAACAUGACCGCUAGUACCACAAAACCGGCUGGGAAGACGAAGCCCUCAAUAAGGUAGGUGACUGGUAUCAGAACACGACUAUCAGAACCACAAAAUCGGUUGAGGAGAUGAAGAUCCCAGUGAGGUGGGUGACCAGUCUUAGAACAUGACCGCUAGUACCACAAAACCAACUGGAGAGACGAAGCCCUAAAUAAGGUAGGUGACUAGUCUCGAAACAUAAUCGUCGGCACCACAAAACCAGUUGAGGAGAUGAAGACUCCAGCCAGGUGAGUGAUCGAACUCGAAACAUGACCAUCGGCACCACAAAAUCGGUUGAGGGAAUAAAGGCCCAUGACAAAGGCCUAACAUCAGCAAGGCUAUAAUUCCAAAGAAAACAAACUGAGAAAUACGUUGUCGACCUAAGGAAGGGCCUCGACACACAUAAGACUCAACAAACAAACAAGAACCUGGCUCAAAUGUCACAAAAGUACUCGGAUCAUACAGGAAUAUAGGCAAGAAUCUGGCUCUAAGCUCACAAAAGAGCUCGGAUCAUACAGAAAUACAGGCAAGAACCUGGCUCUGACCUCGCACGAAGGCUCGGAUCACAAAAACACGAGUGAAAAACCUGAAUCUGACCUCACCAGAGGGUGCAGAUUAUGAGAAUACAAGCAGAAAGCCUAGCUCCGACCUUGUUAAAGAGCUCAGGCUGUAGGAAAAUAAGAUUGAGGUCGGCACAUAGAAAAAUUAACCUAAGGCAUCCUAAUGCCCACUUCUUGAAACAAUACUGCUCGCUGAAAAGCUAAUUUAAGGCUCACAAAGCCAAAGUCUCACAACGACCUCGAAAAUGAGCUCAGUACCCUUAAAGACCCAAAGGCAAGCCAAGCCAAGGCAAAAUCAAAGAAAAAAAUAAGCCUUAUUAUUAAACUCCAUAAAUAAGCAGCGAAUGACAUAAAAAAUCGUAAACACACCUAAACUUGAAGGCAGUACUAUAUGAAAAUUAAAUAGCUCAGCUAGCUAAAGGGCAGUACCAGCUGAAAUAAAGAGUUGCAAGAAAACCAAACUUAGCUAAGAUAAAGGCUUCAAGAAAAUAGAAAGCAAAAAAAAAAAUGCUAAGACAUUCAAUAAAUAGGAAAAAUAACACAACAGGAAAGACACCAUAAAGGUAAAACAAGAUUAACAAACUGCCAGCUCGAUAAAGUUCACAGACUAUACACAUAAAAAUAGACUAAGUAUAGAAAUACAAGUAAAGUAAGUUAACGACCUACUAGCCCAGUACAGUACACACACAAUACACAUAAAAAUAGCCCAAGUAGGCAAAUUAACGAGCUGGCAGCUAGAUAUAGUUCACAAGGCAAUAUACAUAAAAAAACAGUCUAAGUACAAAAAUACAAGUAAAUUCAAUAAAAAUGAAAAAUAAAAGUAGACAGAGGGAAAAUAAUAAAAGUCAAAUCUUUAUUAAUUAUUAGAAUGAGUUAUAGAGACAGCAAGAGAGGAGGGAGCAGAACUAACUAAAUCAUUUACAGGAUUACUUACAGUAUCCUCCCUUGAGGUUCAGAAGGCAAAUGAGGAGUAUUUUUAGGCAAAGGGUUAUCAUCCUCUCCGUAGCACACCUCCUGGCCGUUAGAGUCCACUUCAGGAGCUCGCAGGUCUGCCAACGGAGUGGAGGGGGCAUCCCAAGCCGUCUUAAGGCCCUGAUUGUAGCUUGAAGCUAACAUGCAGAAGGCCUCCUUGUAUACUAUUUCUUUCAUCUCUGUAGAGGCCUUAUACUCCUCUAGUUGCGCUUCACAGGCCUGCUGGAUCUUGCCUUUCAGCUCUGUAGAGUCGUUGUACUCUUGCAAAUGCUUCUCACAAGUCUGCUGGACCCUCUCCUCUGUAGCCCGAGUAUCCCUUAAUAACGCAGAACACCUCUCCUCCAGACUAGUGACCUCUUGAUGGAGUUGUUAUUGCUGGAGACGAGACUCCUCCGCUGCCGAAGCCAUGCCUUUCAGGUUUUCGAUGUGCUUGUUAAGCUCCUACUGGAGGACAGCAGCGCGAGGUAAGGCCUCAUCACACUGGGCCAUGGCCUCAUCACGUUGACGACAAGACUCUUCUAAAGAGGACAACUAUGCUAAGGCCUCGUCUCAUUGAGACUCAGCUACAGAAACUCAUUGGGAGGCCCAGGCAACCUCCUCCCUCAUCUCCCCUAAUUGCUUGGUGAGAUCCUCAAUAACACCUUAGAAUUCAAUGAUCCAUCCGCGGGCCUCACCAGUGGCAAUGAUGUUUUCAUCCCAGCACUCCUCAGUGAUGCACUGCUCCACCGAGCUCUGAAAAGACCAGUUUCGGGCAUCAAUCUCCAAGAAUACCCCGAAGUGCUGCCACAGAAAAACAAAGUUAAAAAGCUAAAGAAGUUAGAAAUACCCUUGAGAAUAGCAAAUGGCUUACCAUGAGGAACAUCUCCCUUAAGCUGUCCUCGAGGUCAUCCGGAGAGCGAGUGUUGAACGCCACCUGCUGCUUAGUGGAGUGGGCAAGGUGGAUGAUGAGGGCCAGGAAACGGGGAUCCGAGGCAUCCGGAAUUCCCCCAAACAUCUUCUCCCAGAGCACUUUGGCUACUGAAGCCAGUAAAGACUCACAAGUCACCUCGGCAGCAUUCAAGUGCUUGUUGUCUGGAGCCGAUGAUAGCUGCUCACGACCUUCUUCCCCU
rnacentral:lncRNA from 1 species